AUCCAUCCGACGAGUCCCAAAUAGGACAAAACGCGCGUCAAAUUGGAU
rnacentral:hammerhead_ribozyme from 1 species